AGUGAACGCUGGCGGUAGGCCUAACACAUGCAAGUCGAACGGCAGCACAGUAAGAGCUUGCUCUUACGGGUGGCGAGUGGCGGACGGGUGAGGAAUACAUCGGAAUCUACUUUUUCGUGGGGGAUAACGUAGGGAAACUUACGCUAAUACCGCAUACGACCUACGGGUGAAAGCAGGGGAUCUUCGGACCUUGCGCGAUUGAAUGAGCCGAUGUCGGAUUAGCUAGUUGGCGGGGUAAAGGCCCACCAAGGCGACGAUCCGUAGCUGGUCUGAGAGGAUGAUCAGCCAAACUGGAACUGAGACACGGCCCAGACCCCUACGGGAGGCAGCAGGGGGGAAUUUUGGACAAUGGGCGAAAGCCUGAUCCAGCCAUACCGCGGGGGUGAAGAAGGCCUUCGGGUUGUAAAGCCCUUUUGUUGGGAAAGAAAAGCAGCAGGUUAAUACCCCGCUGUUCUGACGGUACCCAAAGAAUAAGCACCGGCUAACUUCGU
rnacentral:rRNA from 1 species